rnacentral:rRNA from 1 species
UACAGAGGUCUCAAGCGUUGUUCGGAUUCAUUGGGCGUAAAGGGUGUGUAGGUGGCGCCGUAAGUCGGGUGUGAAAUUUCGGAGCUUAACUCCGAAACUGCAUUCGAUACUGCGGUGCUUGAGGACUGGAGAGGAGACUGGAAUUCAUGGUGUAGCAGUGAAAUGCGUAGAGAUCAUGAGGAAGACCAGUGGCGAAGGCGGGUCUCUGGACAGUUCCUGACACUGAGACACGAAGGCCAGGGGAGGCAAACGGGG